GGUUGGUCAAGAGCAGGGCACUUCCAGUCCUUCUUCAUCAAGUCAGAAAUCAUGUAGGGAGAGCAGCAACAGUUAACGAUGUAAAGUAUGAAAAGUUUGAUAUUAUUAUCUUGUGAAAUGAUACAAAUUCACAGAAUUCUUCCACCUUAUGGUGAUAAGAUUUACUAUAACUUUAACGUAAUGGCUUUCAUUUUAUCGGUUCGUAUAUCAUCACAUCAUCAUCAUGUAUCAUACAACUCACUUUUAUAUUUCAAGCUUUCCAGUCAGCUUCAGUUUCAAUUAAAUAAUUAAUAAUGUGGUCUUAUAAACAACAUGGUUUCAGCUGAAUACAUGCUUGGAGUUUGUGACACGCAUUUGUAUUGUAUCCAUGAACUGGGACAAGACUCUUUCUGAUACGGACAACCAAAGUGAAGUUGGUAACUUAAGCCCCCAUUCUGCUGAGCCACCAGAGUCACCAAUCAGUGCUGAUCCUGCCAGAUCUGGUGGCAUCUUCCAGUGUGGUGCACAGGGACCUUUGCAGACAUUGGAGGAUUGUUCUGCUCCAACAUCUCCCAGUCAAGAGCAGGGGGUCCUGUGCAGCCUGUCCUUAGUGUUUUCCCUAAGACGCAACAUUGCAACCGCAAGAGGGCAUUCAAUGAGUCAUGGUACAGAGACUACACAUGGUUGGAGCACCACCAAAAUGCUGUUUGCGUGGAAGCAGCACGAAAUGGCCACUCAAAGAAAGUCAUGCAUAAUAGUACAAAUACUUGGCCCCUCUAUUAAUAUUGUGGCCCCUUACUCAGGAAAAUCUUAGAUCCGCCACUGCAUUUGUGCUUUACGAACCUGUAUUAUUUUGAAAUCACUCAUAAUUUGGUGGGAGUGUAAAUGACCUUUGGGUUGGUUCGUCGCAGCUUAGCAUAUUUCUGUUGCCAUGUUGUUUUUAUUUUGAGGUCUUUUUGUGGAGCGAUCUGGUGGGUUUUUUUUUUUGCAAAUGCCUAGACUUUUAUUUUGAAAUUACGGCGCUGCUAUCCACUUAGCGUAAGCACAACGGACCAGCACGCCUGUGCAGCGGCGGUGAAGCGGAGUAGGUAAAGGGCACCUUCUAAUUUAAAAGAGACGGUUUUUCCUUUUGCUUUAGUACCUGACUGGUUAGGGCACAAUGUCAAUAUUUUCUAGUGUAAUUGUGAAUGCCUCUUUAUUACAUUUGAGUUUUGAACUUUAUGAGUGUUCCAUUAGCAAACUGCUAUUUUCGACCGAUGCUCUGUACUCCUGCCUUGCUUCAAUUUAACGUAUUCCAUAUAGCUUAAUUCAGUAAAUAAGUGCGCUUCAUGCAGGUUUUCACGUUGUUUUCUUAUUUACAGCACUUUGUAAGUCAUAAUAUAAAAGGAACGUAAUGUUUAUUUUAUCUUUAAUUCCUUCCCCCUUUUUCCUUUAACUCUUAUGGUGAGCUCACUGUUUAUGUGUAUCUGAAUAAAACCCCCUUUAUGAAC